AUGAAAAGAGACAGGGAGGAAAAUGCACUCUUGCCUUUUUCUUUCUACCUGGUCCCUCUCAGCACCACUUCUGCCCCCUCUGUGGCACUUCUGCUGUCUAGAAUUAUGAAGUUUGCCUAUUUAUCCACUUCCCUAGAGGGACCCACUCCAGUGCUGAACCUAGAAAUCUGUUCUUCUGUCUGCUGGGAAGCUGAGCAUCUUCAAAGAACCAGAAACGAUGACUGUGGGUAAGAGGACCACUUAUGUCAAGAACCCAAUAGGACAACCAUCUUACAGAGAUCUUCAGUAACUUUUCCCAUCCAGCAACAUCCAGAUGACUCUAGUGACCAAAUGCUCAGCUGUAAACACAGCAAUAACUGGCCCUCUUUCCAGGUUGGGUUUGCUGAACGUGAAUGGUCCAGCCGUCUUCAGGUGGCCUAAGGUGGUGUGCUGUAGGGGAAGCGCAUCUCUUCUGGCCAAGAAUCAAGACUGGACUGUGGAAGAAACCGCCUGACAUAGUGAGAGUACUCAGAGCACCUAGAGUGCCAGGACUCGUAGUGAUUAACACAGGGCCCUUGGUGAUGGGUUCACAGCAGCUGCCCAGCAGUGUCCCUCUGACAUGAUGUUAUUUGCUUGAAGGCCCUGGAACGACAGAAUAUCUUAAAAUCUAUCCAGGUGCUAAGUAGGCAGCAGAUCUAAUUUACACUGGACUACUACUGAGCUAAUAACUAUCUCCAGAAAAUAAUUUCACCCAAGAAGUACUCCAGCUUUGCAAGGAAUAGCCCCAGGAGAGUAAUAGGAUAAGCAGGCCAUUACCCUGGAAAAACUCAAGUGCAAAGCGGUCUAGUGCACAGCAAAUUCACUGCCUACUCCCUUGUCUGUGGCAGUGAGUACCAGUUGACUGUGGCCCUCUCUUCUGCUAAACCCAGAGUCAGAAUCCCCAGCACUGUUUUCAGAACAGCCAGCAGCCACUUCCUUUCAACUGGUAUUGGCAAGUAGAAUGAGAGGUCAUUGUCAUCCCUGUUAGAGAGGCAUACAUCUCAAUGGCGUAGGCAUCUGGAAUACCCUUUCCCAGGCACAUUUGUCUUCUGAGGGCAGAGCCUCAGAAACAGAUGUACCAUUGAGUGAGCUGAGUUCGUGAAGAGAUGACACAGCUGGUUCCUGAUUGAAGGCACAGCUUUGGGGCCUUCUUGGCCUGAGUGCCUUCUGGGUAUUUCCAUAUGCAACAGCCCAGAGGCAUAGCCUUGGGCAACCACAGACAGGUUUCCUUUCAUUUCCAGAUACAUAUAUC
rnacentral:lncRNA from 1 species